rnacentral:rRNA from 1 species
CCUACGGGAGGCAGCAGUGGGGGAUAUUGCACAAUGGGGGGAACCCUGAUGCAGCGACGCCGCGUGGGUGAAGAAGCGCCUCGGCGCGUAAAGCCCUGUCAGCAGGGAAGAAAAUGACGGUACCUGAAGAAGAAGCCCCGGCUAACUACGUGCCAGCAGCCGCGGUAAUCCGUAGGGGGCAAGCGUUAUCCGGUUUUACUGGGUGUAAAGGUGGCGCAGAGGGCGAUGCAAGCCAGGAGUGAAAGCCCGGGCCGCAACCCGGGACUGCUCUUGGAACUGCGUGGCUGGAGUGCAGGAGGGGCAGGUGGAAUUCCAGGUGUAGCGGUGAAAUGCGUAGAUAUCAGGAGGAACACCGGUGGCGAAAGCGGCCUGCUGGACUGCAACUGACGUUGAGGUCCGAAAGCGUGGGGAGCAAACAGGAUUAGAUACCCCAGUAGUC